UCGGGUGUGGUGUAUGGAACACGCUCCCUCCUCUUAGGCGGUCGAAAAAGCGGUAGAAUUGAAGGGAGAGAUCCGGGUUCGAUUCCCGGUGUCCGAA